CAGGGAACCCUGAGCCUGCGCUCUAAAGAGAGAGAUGCACCAUUUCACAACUUCAGCAAAAGCCAAAGCAGCCAACAAAGCCACAGCCCCAUCGGCUGUACUGGGCUCUGCCUUUUGGGCAGCUCGCCGGCCACUCCCCAAAAGCAGAGCAUUCCAUCCUUUCUCUUUUUAAACCCACGUCAUCAUCUGAUCAUAAUGGAAAUCAAUCUCCUCAAACCACCAUGCAAAGGCGUAUCCAUGGCAACCUCAAAAGGAAGGACACAGAGAUGAUGCUUCAGUGGCUGCAGCAGGAAAAGGUGCUGUUGUAAGAGACCCAGCCUGCCUUUGGCUUCCUCCAACGGGGAACCUGAACAAGGACCCCCAAACUCCUACUCACAUAGCUAGAGCCCUUUCCCCCAACCUGUGAUGCUGAACAGAGAAGAACAUCUGUGCUCACCUGGGUGGAAUCCUAGGCAUUAUAGAAUGUGGGGAAGAAACCAGGGGAGAAUCCUCCCCCUGAGGAAAGGGAUGCUGUUUUCCAAGAGAAGGUGGGUUUUCAAACUGAAAGGCUUGGAGAGGGGAAUCAAUAGAGAGCAAAUCAAAGGUGACGAAGCCAUACGGAGGACAUGUGUGGGAGAGAGAAGCAUCUAGAUUAGCUAUACCAGCACUGCCCAAUAGGCAUAAAUGUAAAUUUUAAAAUUGUUUUUGGUUGGGAAAUAGGUUAAUAAAUUUUAAAGAAAA